UCACGCUGCUUCAACAUUGAAAAUAUAAGUAAGAAUUCUGCUCUUUUUCGGCUCUGCUUUGGUCUCCACCGAGCUUGUGGAGCACAUUAAGUACCAAGACCACGACCUCUGUGAUGAAUGGAUGAAAAUAUUGACUAAAGCCGCUUUAAAGUUACGUCUUGCUGCCAUCAUGUGAAGGUAUGAAACGUUAUCCUCGCCUCGCCCGGCUCAAGCCACUCCCCAUUGAGGCGGGAGGCAACGUUUCCGAUUUUCUCGGCCACUCUGCAUUUUUUAAACUUCUUGUAUCUUUACGACUGAGAGAGUCGUUGUUUCCUGCUUGGAUCCAGAACACAGACGACGCGAUGUUUGGAAUCCAGCGUUUUACUACUUCUAUCUCACGCUGCCCUUUACUCCUGAGAAACUUGAUUACGCUGAUCGCUAUCGUGACUGUUGGCCGGGAUUUUCUUUAUUGCAUCACUAUUUAUGAGUCAGUGUUCUUAUUGUUUCAGGGCGACACACCUCGAAAGUCUUGCCCGGCGACGUCAACGAAGAAAAAUACAACGUCUGCAAAUCUUGACUCGCUGAAUAAUGAUUUUGUUAUUCUCAAAUCAGAAGAUCCGAUAUUACAGAUACAUCUCAAUUUGAAGCCGGCACGACUGCAUGUUCAUCUUUUGACCCAGAAAUGAGGCUUGCCAAUCUUUGCAGUCAAGGAACCGCCCGUGCAGGCUUUCCUGCAUUGCAGCUCCGAGCCAAAACCUGGAUGUUUGAAGGGUUUUUUUCAGCUUUUAUCACAAGAAAACAAAAAGCAGAGAGGUGCGAUUCGUUGCCACGUGUACUUUGAUCCCUGUGUUAAAAACAAUGUACUGGAGAUGAUUCCCUAUUCGGGUAAAUAUCCGACAAACAAUGCCAGAGAGAAGCCAUUCUUCUGUCCAAAUAGAGGGGAAAUCCACACAAUUAUACACACUAAUACCCACAGGCAUAUCGGUUAUUGAGCUCCACUAACGCACAACACAAAUAAUUAAAACAAUGAGCCAAAUUGGAUAUCACUCUGCUUUAUAAUGCAGCUAAUUGAACAAAUUAACAAAUGAGCAAAAACACGGCACAAUACUGUGAACCGAGUUCAUUUCCAUUAAAUGAUAAAACAUUCCAGCCAAUUCAGUUCUUCUUCUUUUUUUUUGCGUAUUCAUAAAUUCCGGGCGCGUGAACCUCAACCUUUGUUAACAUGAAUAUAUUGUGAGGCAUUUGCAUAAUCCACUUCAUAAUCCACUGCAGCACUCGGCGGUAACAAAGAUAAGGAGGGGUAGCCACUGUUCCUCCU